ACGGGCGUACCAUGCUGAAUAUACCGGUUCUCGUUAGAUCACCGAAGUUAAGCAUCAUUGGGCGCGGUCAGUACUUGGGUGGGUGACCACCUGGGAACACUGCGUGCCGUU
rnacentral:rRNA from 1 species